rnacentral:rRNA from 1 species
AGAUGGCGACCGGCGCACGGGUGAGUAACACGUAUCCAACCUGCCGAUAACUCGGGGAUAGCCUUUCGAAAGAAAGAUUAAUACCCGAUGGUAUAAUCGGACCGCAUGGUCUUGUUAUUAAAGAAUUUCGGUUAUCGAUGGGGAUGCGUUCCAUUAGGCAGUUGGUGAGGUAACGGCUCACCAAACCUUCGAUGGAUAGGGGUUCUGAGAGGAAGGUCCCCCACAUUGGAACUGAGACACGGUCCAA